AACGAACGCUGGCGGCAUGCCUAACACAUGCAAGUCGAACGAGACCUUCGGGUCUAGUGGCGCACGGGUGCGUAACGCGUGGGAACCUGCCUUUAGGUUCGGAAUAACUCAGAGAAAUUUGAGCUAAUACCGGAUGAUGUCUUCGGACCAAAGAUUUAUCGCCUUUAGAUGGGCCCGCGUUGGAUUAGCUAGUUGGUGGGGUAAAGGCCUACCAAGGCGACGAUCCAUAGCUGGUUUGAGAGGAUGAUCAGCCACACUGGGACUGAGACACGGCCCAGACUCCUACGGGAGGCAGCAGUGGGGAACAUUGGACAAUGGGCGAAAGCCUGAUCCAGCAAUGCCGCGUGAGUGAUGAAGGCCUUAGGGUUGUAAAGCUCUUUUACCCGAGAUGAUAAUGACAGUAUCGGGAGAAUAAGCUCCGGCUAACUCCGUG
rnacentral:rRNA from 1 species